AAAAAAGUUAAGCGCGCGUUGCCAAAGAUGAAUGAAGAUGAUGAACAAUAAAUUUUAUCAUAUCUUUCAGGAUGUGAAGAACUGGUGAACUCGACCAUUGCUUUUCACGACUCAAUCCGGGAUGCAAAUCUAAACGUGGUCGAAUACAACGGCAAGGUACGAUUAACUGAUAUACCAUGCCCAGCGGAACACAACCCAGUCAAAAGCACGUGUAUCGGUUAUAUGGAAGUGUGGAUAGAUUCGGAUGACGCGAAACUGGUAGAAUUCAACGACAAAGUUUUCAGCAAGACUGAAGACCAAAUAAUUUCGGACAUCAAGAAUUACCAAACAGCCUCCGAAGCAAAAGUGAAAACUGUGAGCGAUCUUAAGAAGAUUAUAGCAUAGAUGACACCAGCCGAUGACAAAUGUACGCUAUACAAGCGGCUCUGUAAUCUGGAAGGGUUUUUCAAGAAAACUGGGGGUUUUGUGAUCCAUAAUCCGAACAUCAAAUACAAGAUGGUGUUGAGCGAUUUCUGUUACAACGAGAAAAGGGAUCCUACCAAUGAAAGAGUUUUGGCUGUCUUGGAAAAGUUUAUUAAAGAGUUGACUCCUCCUACAGCGACUCCCUAAUGACAGCAAUAUUUUAUUCAUGUUGUAUUACGUAACUACAAAAGUUUUAUUUUAGAAUGGGACAAGUAUGACUUAUAUUGUAUUAUUGAUACAUUCAAUUUAUUAAAGGUGAU